GACGAACGCUGGCGGCAUGCUUAACACAUGCAAGUCGAACGGAACGGCCCUGCUUUGGUGGGGUGCUCGAGUGGCGAACGGGUAAGUAACACGUGAGUAACCUACCAUUGACUGUGGGAUAACUUCAUGAAACUGAGGCUAAUACCGGCUAGGAUCUCCUGCUUCAUGGUGGGGGUGGGAAGGUUUAGGCGGUUGGUGAUGGACUCGCCGCGUAUGAGCUUGUUUGUUGGGUAGUGUCUUACCAAGGCCUUGAGGCGUAGCCGGGCUGAGAUGGUGACAUGACAAACUGGGACGGAGCUAAGGCACAGACUCCUACGGUACGCAGCAGUGGGGUAUAGUGUACAAUGGACGGAAGCCUGACGCAGCCCCGCAGCGUGGCGGAUGACGGCCUGCGGGUUGUAUUGCGCUUUUGCUUGUCCCGAAGCGUGAGUGACGGUAAUGGGUAAAGAAGCACCGGCUAACUACGUG
rnacentral:rRNA from 1 species